UACGGGGGGGGCAAGCGUUGUUCGGAAUUACUGGGCGUAAAGGGCUCGUAGGCGGCCAACUAAGUCGGAUGUGAAAUCCCCAGGCUUAACCUGGGAACUGCAUCUGAUACUGGAUGGCUUGAAUCCGGGAGAGGGAUGCAGAAUUCCAGGUGUAGCGGUGAAAUGCGUAGAUAUCUGGAGGAAUACCGGUGGCGAAGGCGGCAUCCUGGACCGGCAUUGACGCUGAGGCACGAAAGCUAGGGGAGCGAACGGG
rnacentral:rRNA from 1 species